UUUAUGGAGAGUUUGAUCCUGGCUCAGGAUGAACGCUGGCGGCGUGCCUAAUACAUGCAAGUCGAGCGAACAGAUAAGG
rnacentral:rRNA from 1 species